UUAUCUUUGAACACCCUCACCAAUGGGGCCUCAACGACUUCCUGUGGAAGCCCAUUUCAUACCCUUGGGGUCCUAACUGUCAGGAAGUGCUUCCUGGCAUCUAAAUGGAACCUUGGCUCCCUGAGCUUUGCUCCGUUGGAGCGUGUCUGCCCUCCUCUGCAGGGGAGAACAGGUCUCUACCCAUCUCCAUGUGACAUCCCCUCACAAAC